AUUGAACGCUGGCGGCAGGCUUAACACAUGCAAGUCGAGCGGGGUGAUGGUGCUUGCACUAUCACUUAGCGGCGGACGGGUGAGUAAUGCUUAGGAAUCUGCCUAUUAGUGGGGGACAACAUCUCGAAAGGGAUGCUAAUACCGCAUACGUCCUACGGGAGAAAGCAGAGGAUCACUUGUGACCUUGCGCUAAUAGAUGAGCCUAAGUCGGAUUAGCUAGUUGGUGGGGUAAAGGCCUACCAAGGCGACGAUCUGUAGCGGGUCUGAGAGGAUGAUCCGCCACACUGGGACUGAGACACGGCCCAGACUCCUACGGGAGGCAGCAGUGGGGAAUAUUGGACAAUGGGGGGAACCCUGAUCCAGCCAUGCCGCGUGUGUGAAGAAGGCCUUAUGGUUGUAGAGCACUUUAAGCGAGGAGGAGGCUCUUUUGGUUAAUACCCAAGAUGAGUGGACGUUACUCGCAGAAUAAGCACCGGCUAACUCUGUGCCAGCCGCCGCGGUAA
rnacentral:rRNA from 1 species